rnacentral:rRNA from 1 species
GUUUAAAAUUUAAUUUUUAAAAGAAAUAACUUUAUUUUUAUUAUUUAUAAAGAAAAAAUAUUUUUAAUUAUAGUAAAUUAGUAUUGUGAAAGAAAGUUUUUGUUUUAAAAAAAAGAAGAAUUAAAUUUUUGUACCUUGUGUUUCAGGGUUUAUUAAAAAUAAAAAUUUAAAUAAAAUUUAUCUCGAAUUAAUAAGAGUUAUGAAUUUAUAAUUUUUAAUGUUGAAUAAUUAUUAAUAAUAAAUUUAUGGAAAUGAAAUGUUAGUCGUUUAUUAAUAUAUCUAGUUUUUUGAGAAAUAAAUUUAAUUUAUACUUUAAAAUAAUUAAUUGUUUUUUUUGUUAAUAAUUGUUUUUAAGGUUAAGUAGUUUAUGGGAUGAGCUAUAAACUAAAUUUGGUAAAAUUGUUAUUAAUAUUUAAAAUUAAUGGAUAGAAUUAGAAGUUUUUAUUUUUAUAGUGUUUAAUAACUAGUUGAUUUGCAAAAUUUUAUUUUUAUUUUUAAAUUUACUUUAUUUAUUGAAUUUAUAUUUUUAAUAAUUGCAAAUAUUAAAUAAUGAUAAAAUUAGUAGGUAAGGUAAAAAUUAGUGUAAUAGUAUAAAAUGUUUUUAAUUAGGAUGUAGAUAGAAUUAAGGAAUUCGGCAAGAUUAAAAGUUUUUCACCUGUUUAUUAAAAACAUGUCUUUUAAGAUUAAUAAUUAAAAGUCAGGCCUGCCCAGUGAAUUUAAAAUUUUAAAUGGCCGCGGUAUUUUGACCGUGCUAAGGUAGCAUAAUCAUUAGUUUCUUAAUUAGAAGCUGGAAUGAAAGGUUUGAUGAGAAAAUUUCUGUCUCAUUUUUAAAUUUUUGAAUUUUAUUUUUAAGUAAAAAAGCUUAAAUUAAAAUGAAAGACGAGAAGACCCUAUAGAGUUUAAUAUUUAUUUAUUAAAUAUUUGUAAAUGAAGAAUUAUUUUUUUUUAAUGAUAAAAUAUUUGAUUGGGGUGAUUUAAAAAUUUAAUUAACUUUUUUUUUGUGAAAACAUUAAUGUAUGAUUGUUUUGAUCCUAAAGUUUAAUUUAGAUUAAAAGAAAAAAUUACCUUAGGGAUAACAGCGUUAUUUUUUCUAAGAGUUCUAAUCGAAGAAAAAGUUUGCGACCUCGAUGUUGGAUUAAAGUUUACUUAUGGUGUAGAAGCUAUAAAGUUAGGUCUGUUCGACCUUUAAAAUUUUACAUGAUCUGAGUUUAAACCGGCGUGAGCCAGGUUGGUUUCUAUCUUUAUUAAAUUAAAGUGUUUUAGUACGAAAGGACCAAAUAUUUCUUUUUUAAAAAGAUUUUAUUUGAAUAAAAUUAAAUGUUUAAUAAAAUAUUCUUAAAUUUAUUAUAUAUAUAUAU